rnacentral:rRNA from 1 species
AACGGCGGCCGUAACUAUAACGGUCCUAAGGUAGCGAAAUUCCUUGUCGGGUAAGUUCCGACCUGCACGAAUGGCAUAAUGAUGGCGGCGCUGUCUCCAGCAGAGGCUCAGUGAAAUCGAAAUCGCUGUGAAGAUGCAGUGUACCCGCGGCUAGACGGAAAGACCCCGUGAACCUUUACUGCAGCUUGACAUUGAACUUUGACCUUACUUGUGUAGGAUAGGUGGGAGGCUUUGAAGUUGGAACGCUAGUUCCAAUGGAGCCGUCCUUGAAAUACCACCCUGGUAAUGUUGAGGUUCUAACUCUGUCCCGUAAUCCGGGACGAGGACCAUGUCUGGUGGGUAGUUUGACUGGGGCGGUCUCCUCCUAAAGAGUAACGGAGGAGUACGAAGGUGCGCUCAGCGUGGUCGGAAAUCACGCGUAGAGUAUAAAGGCAAAAGCGCGCUUAACUGCGAGACCCACAAGUCGAGCAGGUACGAAAGUAGGUCUUAGUGAUCCGGUGGUUCUGUAUGGAAGGGCCAUCGCUCAACGGAUAAAAGGUACUCUGGGGAUAACAGGCUGAUACCGCCCAAGAGUUCAUAUCGACGGCGGUGUUUGGCACCUCGAUGUCGGCUCAUCUCAUCCUGGGGCUGAAGCAGGUCCCAAGGGUAUGGCUGUUCGCCAUUUAAAGAGGUACGCGAGCUGGGUUUAGAACGUCGUGAGACAGUUCGGUCCCUAUCUACCGUGGGCGCUGGAAAUUUGAGAGGAUCUGCUCCUAGUACGAGAGGACCAGAGUGGACGAACCUCUGGUGUACCGGUUGUCACGCCAGUGGCAUCGCCGGGUAGCUAUGUUCGGAAGGGAUAACUGCUGAAAGCAUCUAAGCGGGAAGCCUACCUCAAGAUAAGAUUUCCCUAGGAA